AAGGCUUUAAGUUAAAUAAACUAAUAACCUUCAAAGCUAUAAAUAAAGAUUUCUUACCUUUAAGCCUUA
rnacentral:tRNA from 1 species